rnacentral:rRNA from 1 species
AUUGAACGCUAGCGGGAUGCCUUACACAUGCAAGUCGAACGGAGUGGCGGACGGGUGAGUAAUAUAGCUGCACGUGCCCAGUAGAGCGGUAUAACGACGCGAAAGAGUGGCUAAUACCGCACACUGCUGGAGCGGCCGAUAUCGGUUUAGCUAGUUGGUGGGGUAAAGGCUCACCAAGGCAACGAUCCGUAGCUGGUUUGAGAGGACGACCAGCAACACUGGGACGGAGACACGGCCCAGACUCCUACGGGAGGCAGCAGUGGGGAAUUUUGGACAAUGGGGGAAACCCUGAUCCAGCCAUCCCGCGUGUAUGAUGAAGGCCUUCGGGUUGUAAAGUACUUUUGGCAGAGAAGCGGUAUCUGCAGAAUAAGCACCGGCUAACUACGUGCCAGCAGCCGCGGUAAUUC